rnacentral:misc_RNA from 1 species
GUAAUUUUAAUUCUAAUAGGUUUUAUCCUAUUUCAAAUAAAUUCAGACAUGUUUUUUACAAUAGUUUAAAUUUGGAGGUCUUCUGGCGACGAGAAAAUAAUUAAACUUUCAAAAUUCGCCGAAGCAACAAUUUUAUAUAAACAAGGGUUGGGAUUUUAAUUCCAAACGAUUUCUCGAAUGGAUUAAAGUCUCUUUUAAUGAUCCUUCCGCAGGUUCACCUACGGAAA